rnacentral:rRNA from 1 species
AUGAACCCCCGCCAUGUCCUCGAGCUCCUGCGCCAGUGCCGCUCCAUCCGACACCUCGACCAGCUCCAGGCCCACCUCCUCGCCCACGGCCCAUCCGCCGUGGCCUCCCUCGCCUCCCAGCUCGUCGCCUCCUACUGCGCGCUCUCCGGUGGCGCCGGACACGUGGGACUCUGCCACGCCCGCCGCCUGUUCGACAGAGUUCCCGACCCGGACAGGUUCGCGUACAACCGCCUUAUCAGGGCGUACUCCAACAGCGGUUGCCCCCAGGAGGCGCUGUGCCUGCACCGCGACGCCCUCCGGCGUGGCAUCCUGCCGAACGAGUUCACGCUGCCCUUCGUGCUCAAGGCGUGCGCCCGGGCGCGGGCCGCAGAGCAUGCGGUGGCCACCCAUGGAGUGGCUGUCAAGCUGGGGUAUGUGCGGCAGGUGUUCGUGGGAAACGCACUUCUGCACUCAUAUGCGUCGGUCGGGUCGCUGAGGGACUCUAGGCGGUUCUUUGCCGAGAUGGCGCCAGACAGGAAUGUCGUGUCAUGGAACACGAUGAUCGGAGGAUGUGCACAGGCAGGGGAGACCAGCGAGGUGUGCGCCUUGUUUGGAGAGAUGAGGCGCCAAGGAGUGUUGGCCGAUGUGUUCACGUUCGUCAGCCUGCUUCUCGUUUGCUCGAGUGAGGGAAAUCUUGAGGUUGGUCGGCUGGUGCAUUGUCAUAUGUUGGCUAGUGGGUCCCGGGUAGAUCUGAUUCUUGGCAAUGCACUGGUAGACAUGUACGGUAAGUGCGGGGAUCUGUGGAUGGCUCAUAGAUGCUUUGACAUGAUGCCCAUAAAGAAUGUCGUUUCGUGGACUUCCAUGCUUUGUGCCCUGGCAAAACAUGGCUCUGUUGAUGCUGCGAGAGAUUGGUUUGAGCAGAUGCCGGAGAGGAACAUAGUCUCCUGGAAUGCCAUGAUCUCUUGCUAUGUUCAGGGUGGCCGAUUCCGUGAAACUUUGGGUAUUUAUAACCGUAUGAAAUCUCUAGGUCUCACUCCAGAUGAGGCUACCUUGGCUGGUGUCCUCUCUGCCCAUGGACAAAAUGGUGAUUUGGCCUCUGGAAGGAUGAUACAUUGUUAUAUUAAAGAUAAUUUUAGUGAUCCUGGUGUCACUCUACUUAACUCACUUCUUGAUAUGUAUGCAAGAUGUGGUCAGGUAGACACAUCCAUAAGCUUGUUCACUGAGAUGCCCAAUAAAAACACUAUCUCUUGGAAUGUGCUUAUUGGAGCGCUAGCCAUGCAUGGGCGUGCACAAGAGGCAGUCAUGUUCUUCAGAGCUAUGAUAUCUGAUGCCUUCUCCCCUGAUGAGAUCACAUUUGUCGGUCUUCUUUCUGCAUGCAGUCAUGGUGGUCUACUAGAAGAUGGACAGUAUUACUUCAAAGCCAUGAGACAUGUUUACAAUGUUAAGCCUGAAGUUGAGCACUACGCUUGCAUGGUUGAUCUGCUUGGUCGGCGUGGCCAUCUUGCAAAAGCUGUUGAUCUGAUAAAAGAUAUGCCAAUGAAGCCUGAUGUUGUGGUUUGGGGUGCAUUAAUUGGAGCCUGCAGGAUCCAUGGCAAUGUAGAGAUCGGCAAGCUAGCGAUCAAACAACUGCUUGAGCUGGAGGGAAUGAAUGGAGGCUUGUUUGUCCUAAUUUCUAAUUUAUUGUAUGAAACUCACCAGUGGGAGGACAUGAGAAGGCUCAGGAAGCUAAUGAGAGAGCGGGGAACAAAAAAGGAUAUGGGUGUUAGUUCAAUUGAAGUAAAUAACAGCAUACAUGAAUUUGGAGUGGAAGACACCAGACAUGAAAGCUCAAGUGAGAUAUACGAGGCAGUUGAUCAGUUGGCAUAUCAUUUAGUCUCUCUGCAUGUCCUGGCUGUGCAGCCUGUAGAACUCAUCAUGGAAGAGUGA